CCCUAUGGGGUGCACCAGGAUGUCGAGCUUACGCGUAUCUACACGGAUGGAUUGGUCCAAGACCGGCUGGCCGGAAGCCUGCUGCAACAGGGCUUUUUCCACUUCUACCGGCGUUGCGGCGGGCUGUGCGGCAAGGAUUUCUCCCAGCUUGCGCGCCGGGCGCGGUUCGCUGGCUUGGGCCUCCAGGGCGCGUUCCACCUGGGCCGGGGUUGCGAUGCCGGCGUUCACCAAGAUGUCCCCCAACUUGCUCCGGUCCGGCCCGCCCGGCACGGUGUCCGGCCUGGCAGCGUAGCGCAAUUGUCGCAUGACGCCGCUGAUCUCGGGCUGCGGGCAAGGUCCGGUGUUCGGCUGGGCCAGGAAUUGGCGGGAGGGC
rnacentral:rRNA from 1 species